CAGUAGCCACGGUAAUACGAAGGGGGCUAGCGUUGUUCGGAAUUACUGGGCGUAAAGCGCACGUAGGCGGACAUUUAAGUCAGGGGUGAAAUCCCGGGGCUCAACCCCGGAACUGCCUUUGAUACUGGGUGUCUAGAGUAUGGAAGAGGUGAGUGGAAUUCCGAGUGUAGAGGUGAAAUUCGUAGAUAUUCGGAGGAACACCAGUGGCGAAGGCGGCUCACUGGUCAAUUACUGACGCUGAGGUGCGAAAGCGUGGGGAGCAAACAGGAUUAGAUACCCGAGUAGUCCCUGUCUCUUAUAC
rnacentral:rRNA from 1 species